CACACGACUCUCGGCAACGGAUAUCUCGGCUCUCGCAUCGAUGAAGAACGUAGCGAAAUGCGAUACYUGGUGUGAAUUGCAGAAUCCCGCGAACCAUCGAGUCUUUGAACGCAAGUUGCGCCCGAGGCCACCCGGCCGAGGGCACGCCUGCCUGGGCGUCACGC
rnacentral:rRNA from 1 species